rnacentral:rRNA from 1 species
AAAAAAGGUAAGCUACUAAGAGCGAAUGGUGGAUGCCUUGACUGGUAAAGGCGAUGAAGGACGUACUAGACUGCGAUAAGCUACGGGGAGCUGUCAAGAAGCUUUGAUCCGUAGAUUUCCGAAUGGGGCAACCCAAUGUAUAGAGAUAUACAUUACCUAUAUAGGAGCGAACGAGGGGAAUUGAAACAUCUUAGUACCCUCAGGAAAAGAAAUCAAUAGAGAUUGCGUCAGUAGCGGCGAGCGAAAGCGCAAGAGGGCAAACCCAGUGCUUGCACUGGGGGUUGUAGGACUGCAAUGUGCAAGAGGUGAGUUUAGCAGAACAUUCUGGAAAGUAUAGCCAUAGAGGGUGAUAGUCCCGUAUGCGAAAAACAAACCUUAGCUAGCAGUAUCCUGAGUAGGGCGGGACACGAGAAAUCCUGUCUGAAGCUGGGUCGACCACGAUCCAACCCUAAAUACUAAUACCAGAUCGAUAGUGCACAAGUACCGUGAGGGAAAGGUGAAAAGAACUGAGGUGAUCAGAGUGAAAUAGAACCUGAAACCAUUUGCUUACAAUCAUUCAGAGCCCUAUGUAGCAAUACAGGGUGAUGGACUGCCUUUUGCAUAAUGAGCCUGCGAGUUGUGGUGUCUGGCAAGGUUAAGCAAACGCGAAGCCGUAGCGAAAGCGAGUCUGAAUAGGGCGCUUAGUCAGAUGCUGCAGACCCGAAACGAAGUGAUCUAUCCAUGAGCAAGUUGAAGCUAGUGUAAGAACUAGUGGAGGACUGAACCCAUAGGCGUUGAAAAGCCCCGGGAUGACUUGUGGAUAGGGGUGAAAGGCCAAUCAAACUUCGUGAUAGCUGGUUCUCUCCGAAAUAUAUUUAGGUAUAGCGUUGUGUCGUAAUAUAAGGGGGUAGAGCACUGAAUGGGCUAGGGCAUACACCAAUGUACCAAACCCUAUCAAACUCCGAAUACCUUAUAUGUAAUCACAGCAGUCAGGCGGCGAGUGAUAAAAUCCGUCGUCAAGAGGGAAACAACCCAGACUACCAGCUAAGGUCCCUAAAUCUUACUUAAGUGGAAAACGAUGUGAAGUUACUUAAACAACCAGGAGGUUGGCUUAGAAGCAGCCAUCCUUUAAAGAAAGCGUAAUAGCUCACUGGUCUAGUGAUUUUGCGCGGAAAAUAUAACGGGGCUAAAGUAAGUACCGAAGCUGUAGACUUGCGCACAACUUAGAUUAUUUAAGUUUAGAAUAUGAGAAACUAAGUUAUAUGUUUAGUUAUAUUUUUACUGAUUUUUAUAGAGUAAAGAUAGAAAUAAAACUUAGUAAAAUCAGUAAAAAUAUUCUUAGAUUAAAGUUAAGUAGUUUAAGUUGUGUGCAAGUGGUAGGAGAGCGUUCUAUUUGCGCCGAAGGUAUACCGUAAGGAGUGCUGGAGCGAAUAGAAGUGAGCAUGCAGGCAUGAGUAGCGAUAAUUAAUGUGAGAAUCAUUAACGCCGUAAACCCAAGGUUUCCUACGCGAUGCUCGUCAUCGUAGGGUUAGUCGGGUCCUAAGUCGAGUCCGAAAGGGGUAGACGAUGGCAAAUUGGUUAAUAUUCCAAUACCAACAUUAGUGUGCGAUGGAAGGACGCUUAGGGCUAAGGGGGCUAGCGGAUGGAAGUGCUAGUCUAAGGUCGUAGGAGGUUAUACAGGCAAAUCCGUAUAACAAUACUCCGAGAACUGAAAGGCUUUUUGAAGUCUUCGGAUGGAUAGAAGAACCCCUGAUGCCGUCGAGCCAAGAAAAGUUUCUAAGUUUAGCUAAUGUUGCCCGUACCGUAAACCGACACAGGUGGGUGGGAUGAGUAUUCUAAGGCGCGUGGAAGAACUCUCUUUAAGGAACUCUGCAAAAUAGCACCGUAUCUUCGGUAUAAGGUGUGGUUCGCUUCGUAUUAGGAUUUACUCCGAAAGCGAAGAAACUUACAACAAAGAGUCCCUCCCGACUGUUUACCAAAAACACAGCACUCUGCUAACUCGUAAGAGGAUGUAUAGGGUGUGACGCCUGCCCGGUGCUCGAAGGUUAAUUGAUGGGGUUAGCAUUAGCGAAGCUCUUGAUCGAAGCCCGAGUAAACGGCGGCCGUAACUAUAACGGUCCUAAGGUAGCGAAAUUCCUUGUCGGUUAAAUACCGACCUGCAUGAAUGGCGUAACGAGAUGGGAGCUGUCUCAAAGAGGGAUCCAGUGAAAUUGUAGUGGAGGUGAAAAUUCCUCCUACCCGCGGCAAGACGGAAAGACCCCGUGGACCUU